rnacentral:rRNA from 1 species
GAUGAACGCUGGCGGCGUGCCUAACACAUGCAAGUCGCACGAUGAUGAAUAAUCAUAGUGGCGCACGGGUGAGUAACACGUAGCUUAUCUGCCCCUAAGAGUGGGAUAACUCAGCGAAAGUUGAGCUAAUACCGCAUAAGCUCCCGACGAAUAGGUAGUUGAGAGAAAAGGUGAAAAUCGCUUAGGGAUGAGGUUGCGACCCAUCAGCUAGUUGGAGUGGUAAAAGCACACCAAGGCAACGACGGGUAGGGGGCCUGAGAGGGUGACCCCCCACACUGGGACUGAGACACGGCCCAGACUCCUACGGGAGGCAGCAGUGAGGAAUAUUGGUCAAUGGACGAAAGUCUGAACCAGCGACGCCGCGUGGGCGAAGAAGGUCUUCGGAUCGUAAAGCCCUUUUCUGAGUGACGAGAAAGGACGGUAGCUCAGGAAAAAGUGUCGGCUAACUACGUG